rnacentral:rRNA from 1 species
UACGUAGGUGGCAAGCGUUGUCCGGAUUUACUGGGCGUAAAGAGCGCGCAGGCGGUCAGAUAAGUCGAAUGUGAAAGCCCCCGGCUCAACUGGGGAGGGUCAUUCGAUACUGUUCGACUCGAAGGCAGGAGAGGGAAGUGGAAUUCCCGGUGUAGUGGUGAAAUGCGUAGAUAUCGGGAGGAACACCGGUGGCGAAGGCGGGUCUCUGGGCCGAUACUGGCGCUGAGGCACGAAAGCGUGGGGAGCAAACAGG